rnacentral:rRNA from 1 species
AGUGAACGCUGGCGGUAGGCCUAACACAUGCAAGUCGAACGGCAGCACAGAAGAGCUUGCUCUUACGGGUGGCGAGUGGCGGACGGGUGAGGAAUACAUCGGAAUCUACUUUUUCGUGGGGGAUAACGUAGGGAAACUUACGCUAAUACCGCAUACGACCUACGGGUGAAAGCAGGGGAUCUUCGGACCUUGCGCGAUCGAAUGAGCCGAUGUCGGAUUAGCUAGUUGGCGGGGUAAAGGCCCACCAAGGCGACGAUCCGUAGCUGGUCUGAGAGGAUGAUCAGCCACACUGGAACUGAGACACGGUCCAGACUCCUACGGGAGGCAGCAGUGGGGAAUAUUGGACAAUGGGCGCAAGCCUGAUCCAGCCAUACCGCGUGGGUGAAGAAGGCCUUCGGGUUGUAAAGCCCUUUUGUUGGGAAAGAAAAGCAGCAGGUUAAUACCCCGCUGUUCUGACGGUACCCAAAGAAUAAGCACCGGCUAACUUCGUG